GGGGCCGUAGCUCAGUUGGGAGAGUGCUUGAAUGGCAUUCAAGAGGUCGCGGGUUCGAUUCCCGCCGGCUCCACCA
rnacentral:tRNA from 3 species